rnacentral:tRNA from 1 species
CGGUGAGGGAGGGAUUCGAACCCUCGAUACAGCUUUUGACCGUAUACUCCCUUAGCAGGGGAGCGCCUUCAGCCUCUCGGCCACCUCACC